UCCUAUGAUGUUGCGACCUUUGUCAUUGUG
rnacentral:piRNA from 1 species